rnacentral:rRNA from 1 species
GGGUUGUGAGGUUAAGCGACUAAGCGUACACGGUGGAUGCCCUGGCAGUCAGAGGCGAUGAAGGACGUGCUAAUCUGCGAUAAGCGUCGGUAAGGUGAUAUGAACCGUUAUAACCGGCGAUUUCCGAAUGGGGAAACCCAGUGUGUUUCGACACACUAUCAUUAACUGAAUCCAUAGGUUAAUGAGGCGAACCGGGGGAACUGAAACAUCUAAGUACCCCGAGGAAAAGAAAUCAACCGAGAUUCCCCCAGUAGCGGCGAGCGAACGGGGAGCAGCCCAGAGCCUGAAUCAGUGUGUGUGUUAGUGGAAGCGUCUGGAAAGGCGCGCGAUACAGGGUGACAGCCCCGUACACAAAAAUGCACAUACUGUGAGCUCGAUGAGUAGGGCGGGACACGUGGUAUCCUGUCUGAAUAUGGGGGGACCAUCCUCCAAGGCUAAAUACUCCUGACUGACCGAUAGUGAACCAGUACCGUGAGGGAAAGGCGAAAAGAACCCCGGCGAGGGGAGUGAAAAAGAACCUGAAACCGUGUACGUACAAGCAGUGGGAGCACGCUUCGGCGUGUGACUGCGUACCUUUUGUAUAAUGGGUCAGCGACUUAUAUUCUGUAGCAAGGUUAACCGAAUAGGGGAGCCGAAGGGAAACCGAGUCUUAACUGGGCGUUAAGUUGCAGGGUAUAGACCCGAAACCCGGUGAUCUAGCCAUGGGCAGGUUGAAGGUUGGGUAACACUAACUGGAGGACCGAACC